rnacentral:rRNA from 1 species
UACGUAGGGUGCAAGCGUUAAUCGGAAUUACUGGGCGUAAAGCGUGCGCAGGCGGUUUUGUAAGUCUGUCGUGAAAGCCCCGGGCUCAACCUGGGAAUUGCGAUGGAGACUGCAAGGCUUGAAUCUGGCAGAGGGGGGUAGAAUUCCACGUGUAGCAGUGAAAUGCGUAGAGAUGUGGAGGAACACCGAUGGCGAAGGCAGCCACCUGGGUCAAGAUUGACGCUCAUGCACGAAAGCGUGGGGAGCAAACAGG